GACGAACGCUGGCGGCGUGCUUAACACAUGCAAGUCGAACGGAAAGGCCCUGCUUUUGUGGGGUGCUCGAGUGGCGAACGGGUGAGUAACACGUGAGUAACCUGCCCUUGACUUUGGGAUAACUUCAGGAAACUCGGGCUCAUACCGGAUAGGAGCUCCUGCUGCAUGGUGGGGGUUGGAAAGUUUCGGCGGUUGGGGAUGGACUCGCGGCUUAUCAGCUUGUUGGUGGGGUAGUGGCUUACCAAGGCUUUGACGGGUAGCCGGCCUGAGAGGGUGACCGGCCACAUUGGGACUGAGAUACGGACCAGACUGCUACGGGAGGCAGCAGUGGGGAAUAUUGCAGAAUGGGCGGAAGCCUGAUGCAGCAACGCCGCGUGCGGGAUGACGGCCUUCGGGUUGUAAACCGCUUUCGCCUGUGACGAAGAGUGAGUGACGGUAAUGGGUAAAGAAGCACCGGCUAACUACGUG
rnacentral:rRNA from 1 species